CAGGUUUUAAUUUACCGUAUUUAGAACCGGUAGUUCCAUUUUUUGUUUAUCCGGCAUGUGACGUAGUAAGUUGUUAUUACCAUGACGGACAGUCGGAAAUGCCCUCCCAAGAUCCGGCAGAUCAAGUUGUAAAUAUUCUAUUAAACUUAUUCGCAACAUGAAUUUAUAUUUUUAUGUAAUUUUAAUUAGUAUUUUUUAUUAUUUAAGAAUUGCUCAUCUAUAACAAUACUUCCAUAGGUUAGAAUUUUUAUGUGAUCAUUAGGUUUACAACAAAAAUAAUAAUAAUAUUAAUUUUUAAAUAAUAUCAAUUGCAUCUCCUAUUAUUUAGAACAUAUUAUAUUUAAAAGUAAAUGUCUACAUUCUAUUAUUUCAGGAGGAAUACGUUAAAUCAGUAAUUUCCCAAGUAAAGAGUAGUAAAAUAUACCUAGUUAUACAAAUUGGAGUAUACUCUUUAAAAUCAUAUGAUGACAAAAUCAAUGUAGAUACUUACACAACUGUAAGUGCAUUACUUAUUUCAUUUUUAAAAAAUGCAGCCGCUGUUUUUAGGUGAUUGAAUGUAUACCUGAAAGCAACGCUAAACAUGGGUUACAAAAAAAAAAAAACGCAUCUGGGUGAAAAACCGAGAAAAAGAAAUGUCCGUAGUUAUUAAAUAAAAAAAAAAAGGUUACUGUUUUCAUGUGAACAACUUAUCUACAAGCAAUUUCGCUUCAAAUUAUAAUAAUAGCAAAUUUUCUAAUUAAAAAAUAUGGAUAGAAACGUUCUUUAAAAAUGUCAUUUUUCGAUUCAAUUCCAGGUUAAUGUAAAAAUUCGUGGAAAAUAGAUAUAAUGCUAAACAAAAUAUGAAGUUAAAAUAAAUUUAAUAUAUUGUCUGUUUCAUUAUUUUACCAUAAUAUGACGGAUAUAUUGUUGACAAAGCAUCAGUGUCAACUGAAUUUCGCUUAGAAUCGUUUUAUUUUGUUAGCAAUGGUAUAUUGUUGCUUACAGGUAUAGAUUACUUAAGGGUUAUAAGUUAUAAUAUAUCAUAAGGUAUAAUAAUUUCUGCACCCAACCCAAUUAUCCUGGGACGUCUUUUUGUUUUCAGUUUUGUUCAGGAAAACCGAGUAAAUAUCGACGAUUCUGCAUAGAU